rnacentral:rRNA from 1 species
GUGAGGAAUAUUGGUCAAUGGGCGAGAGCCUGAACCAGCCAAGUCGCGUGAAGGAAGAAGGAUCUAUGGUUCGUAAACUUCUUUUGCAGGGGAAUAAAGUGCGGGACGUGUCCUGUUUUGUAUGUACCCUGAGAAUAAGGAUCGGCUAACUCCGUGCCAGCAGCCGCGGUAAUACGGAGGAGCCGAGCGUUAUCCGGAGUUAUUGGGGUGAAAGGGUGCGUAGGUGGUUUGAUAAGUCAGCGGUGAAAGUUUGCAGCUUAACUGUAAAAUUGCCGUUGAAACUGUCGAUCUUGAGUGCAAAUGAGGUAAGCGGAAUGUGUUGUGUAGCGGUGAAAUGCUUAGAUAUAACACAGAACACCGAUUGCGAAGGCAGCUUACUGGGAUGCAACUGACGCUCAUGCACGAAAGCGUGGGGAUCAAACAGGAUUAGAUACCCGGGUAGUCC